rnacentral:rRNA from 1 species
CCUACGGGAGGCAGCAGUGGGGAAUCUUGCACAAUGGAGGAAACUCUGAUGCAGCGAUGCCGCGUGAGUGAAGAAGGCCCUUGGGUUGUAAAGCUCUUUCGUCGGGGAAGAAAAUGACUGUACCCGAAUAAGAAGGUCCGGCUAACUUCGUGCCAGCAGCCGCGGUAAUACGAAGGGACCUAGCGUAGUUCGGAAUUACUGGGCUUAAAGAGUUCGUAGGUGGUUGAAAAAGUUAGUGGUGAAAUCCCAGAGCUUAACUCUGGAACUGCCAUUAAAACUUUUCAGCUAGAGUAUGAUAGAGGAAAGCAGAAUUUCUAGUGUAGAGGUGAAAUUCGUAGAUAUUAGAAAGAAUACCAAUUGCGAAGGCAGCUUUCUGGAUCAUUACUGACACUGAGGAACGAAAGCAUGGGUAGCGAAGAG